AGAGUUUGAUCAUGGCUCAGGAUGAACGCUAGCUACAGGCUUAACACAUGCAAGUCGAGGGGCAGCAUGGACCCAGCUUUGCUGGGUUUGAUGGCGACCGGCGCACGGGUGAGUAACGCGUAUCCAACCUCGUCCCUUUACGUCCGGGAUAGUCUACCGUAGGAAAGGGUAGUUUAAUACCGGUAUUGUUGUUUGUUCCUUUCCGCGUAGUGGGAGACGAACAAAUAAAGUAAGUUAAGUUAGGUAAAGGAGUGGGUAU
rnacentral:rRNA from 1 species